rnacentral:lncRNA from 1 species
GCCACAGGAGCUGCGCAGGAGGAGAAGAAUGUGGGCCAAAAGGUGUUCCACUUUGGCUUUGUAUGACACAGUGGACGAGAGGGUACGGCGUUCAGUGGAACAAACGCUGCAGACCCUGGGGAGAAUCAAAGCAGGAGAGAGGAAACGUGCCCUUUGCAGCAGGGGCCGUUGUGCUGGCAUUACCCAUCGCAUCCACUGCUGCUGUGGUCCUUUCUUUCCUUUGGGCAGUUGGCUGUCUCUCAAGGUGUUGUCUACAAUAGGUGCUUGUUUGUGUAUCCAUGUGAGGCUGUUGAAUAAAAUUCCUACCUCUGUGUUCUGCUCUGGGUGCGUGGUUUUCUUGCCUCUGCUCCUGAGGCAUCCCGACUGUCGGAUCCAAACGUACCCUGGGACCGACAGACAGACAGACAGCCAAGGCAGGCAGGUGCUGCGAUGCCAACCGUCCAGCCAGCCAAGGCAGGCAGGCACAUGUGUGUGUGUUUGCGCGUGCGUGUGGGUGUGCGCAAGGGUGGGGUUGCACAUGUUUUGUGUACACGUGGGUGCACAAGGGGAGGGGUUACACAGCUGUGAGUAAGCACAU